UAAUAAGGAGGGAUUGAGGAAGAUUUUAGCACUAUUUCACAGCACCACACAAGGAAACCGAUCCCAUUUACCUCUUCUCCUGCUACCAGAACCAAUUCCAUUAGUGUUUGAGUAGCUUGCUGGUUGAUUCUUUUGCCUUUCCCGCUUCCUGCAUUGGCAAUUCAAUUAGGGUUUAUAAGGAUAUAAGUAUACUACUUAUAAAGAUGUAGUAAUUGUUUGGUAUGAGUUUUUUUUGUAAUUUCUAAUUGCUUCUCUAAUAUUGUUGUGAUGGGACACGCAAGGUAAAAAAAAAAUCAAUGAGUAAAUCCAUUUCAAGUUGCAAAGAAUAACUGUUAAUCUUGGAAUUUUACCUUGGACCAAAUCAAGAAAAAGUUUUGACUUGGUUACAUCCAAAAUCUUUGUCAAAAUUACAGCUAAUGUUACUAUUUUUAAUGUGACAAAUAAGGGCAGAGUAACAUCAUAAGUCAAAUCAUAGAUUAUUAAUCGUAAGUUAUUGACAAAAUGAAUGAAGCUAAGUCGUUCACCUGGCACAAGUCCUACACAUGCAACCAAAAGCAAAAAUCAAAUAUCUACGCGCGCAGAACAAGAACAUAGAUAAAAAGGUGGCUGGGAAUAUAAAAAGGUAGGUUGGGAAAUGUGUCUAUGAUGCAAGCGAAAAUUUUUUUUGAAAAAAUUUGUUAGCCAUACAAUCCCAUAUGCAUACAUAUGUAUACACAUAUAUAUACAGACACAGACAUAUACAUAUAUACACACAUACACACAAUCAUGCAAAAGAAGUAUUCCAAAUUAUUAGAGUAAUAUAAAUAUCGAACAUAAGUGAAGAUAUAUUCUUUAUUUAAUAAAUGCAUUAAUCUGUAAAACAUGCUUUCUUAAUAUGGCUAGAAUGAGUUAAAUAAAAAGAUAAGAAUAAUGUUAAUAGAAUGUACUGCUAAAACCACAAAUAUAAUAUUGAGUUUUAAUAUUUUUCAAAAUGUUUUUAUUUUACUUUAUGGCCAAAUUGUACUGUCAAUCUUUUUUAACUUGCAAAUACUAUAAAAGUUACGAGCCUAAACAGAUAAGAAAAGAUUGAACAAGCAACAAAAUUUGAGAAAAUUUUUUAAAAUCUUUUCCACCAGUCAAUUACCAUUUAGACUUGAGAAAAAAAAAAUUUUUAAGUAGGAUAAGAAAAAUAUAUAUAAUGUGGCGGUUUGAUUAUGUGAAGUAAAAAAAAAAAGUGAUUGAAAAAUUUAUUCACCAAAAAAUAUAAAAAUUUUUUUAAUAAAAGCAACCUAAACAAGAAAUUUCGAGUAAAAAGGCUCAUUGUUGUCCCUCUAUUAUGUAGAAAAAUAAAAUGCUCCUUGACAUCGUUUGUUUAUUUUUUUCAUUUUCUUUCUUUGUUGUUUAAGUACUUUUGUUUUUGUCCCUAAAUACACCAAUUAAUAUACUGUAUGAUAGAAUAGUUUAUUAAUAAUGAGAAAUUCAGUAUUUAAAGUCUUAAUAUAUAAUUUAUUUCGUAAGCAUCAUUGUCGUCUACCUAAAUCAAAGUAUAAUCCACCCAAAUCUUUCAAAGGCACUCAAUUGGAUCUAUGUCUUGGGCCUUUUAUGUGAUUUAAGCCUAGUAAAGACCUUUUAAUUUAUUAUAUUUUGGUCCCAAUAAAAAAAAACUUGAUAAAAUAGACUAAGCAUUCAUUUAUUUCCAUUUAUUAUUUCACGUUAGAGGUAAGGGAAUGAUUAAGUGUGAGUUAAACUGGCAAGCAUAGACUAUAAAAGAAUUGUUCUGAUACUUACUUUUUGACAAAACAAAUGAAAAAUAUAAGUACUGUAUUUCAUAAAAAUAAAAAGAAAGGUCAACGUCUAUUGAAAUUUUGGAACAUUUUAUUCUACUUUCAGAAAAUUCAAAAAGUAUUACCUUUAUUGUAAAAAAAUAAAAUUAUUUUGUGAAAAAAUAACAGAGUACUCAAGGACUCAAAUUUACAGAUUUUUUCACUUGAAUACUUGGUGGUCAAGACUAAUCCAACUCAUAUUAUUUAAGAAAAUUAAAGCAUAAAAACAUAUAAUCACACCUUCAUACCAGAAUAGACUUGGCAAAGUAAUAGCAAUUCCUACCUGCAGUUUUUAGUGAACUUUAGGCACGCUUAUGCAAGAAAAGCAUUUUCUC
rnacentral:lncRNA from 1 species